rnacentral:rRNA from 1 species
CAGUAGCCGCGGUAAUACAGAGGGUGCGAGCGUUAAUCGGAUUUACUGGGCGUAAAGCGUGCGUAGGCGGCUUCUUAAGUCGGAUGUGAAAUCCCUGAGCUUAACUUAGGAAUUGCAUUCGAUACUGGGAAGCUAGAGUAUGGGAGAGGAUGGUAGAAUUCCAGGUGUAGCGGUGAAAUGCGUAGAGAUAUGGAGGAAUACCGAUGGCGAAGGCAGCCAUCUGGCCUAAUACUGACGCUGAGGUACGAAAGCAUGGGGAGCAAACAGGAUUAGAUACCCGUGUAGUCCCUGUCUCUUAUAC